AGCAAGAGCCAGACUUGGAGAACUUUUGCAUUUGGGUUAGAACAGAUCUUCCUUAUCAGGACAUCAGUGAACUGAAAGGACAGAAGAUAAAAGCUCUAUGAAAAGGGAGCGGAGUCAUGAGUUUUAGUCCUUGGGACUGACAGUUCCAAGCUGGCUGCACACCACUGAGUAUUUCCGUUUUACAGAAAGGGUAUGCUCUGCGAUGAAAUGUUUUGUGAAGUAAUCUAUUGUGUAGACCGUUUGCCCGGAAAAUAGGAGAACCAAUGAUAGUUUGGAAGAUAAAUAGACCUGAGCGCACUGGCUGAUAGAAAAGAACAUUAACACUUUUGGAAUGCUGCUGCUCAUGUCGUACAGGAAAUCAGCUUAUAUUCAAGUAGUGCUGGCACUUUGAUUGCUGUUUGUUCCUGGUUUACCUGCAGUGGGGAGAUAUUAGGAGGAAUAGGAAAGCGGUUCUGUAGGUAUACAGCACCAGAUGGACAUAUGCGCAUGUGUGCAUAAGUAGUUGUUCCCAUCCUGCAUACCUUCUUCUCUAGUCUACAGAUCACUGGUAUACAUACCACAGACUGCAGUUGAGAAAUACUGCAUAUAGCCUGUAACAUGCGUGCUUUCCAUAUGUUGUUAUUAUAUUUGUACACUACUAGUUUACACUUUGUUUUACUCUUUUGGCUGCAGCAGCAACCUACUGUAAUGGUGAAACACUGCUAGGACUAGUUCUGCCUAGAGGCUAAUAUCUAUGCCAUAGGCUCAUUGCUGCAAGGGCAUUGAAGACAUAGGUUAUGGUGUUACAGUAAGGAUAGGUAAAUAAUUUGUUUAGUAGCCAUUGUUUCCUCUCACAUUGACUUGUAAUACAUAGUUUUUCUCAGAGUCUUUUCCAAAACUUUUAUGUUUGAAAAACAUAAGUUUAUUAAUUGAGAAUAUAUUUUUGGAAUAUCUUCACUGCUGAAUAAAAGUGAUAACUGGACAGGGAAAGGAAGUGAUAUUAAUACCUUAUUUUUCCCUUAUACCCUAUACCAUCUACUUUAGUACUUAAGAAUUAACAAAGGUUGUAAGAUAUCUAUGUUCAGAUCUUCUCUAAUGGAAUGUUAACAGUGAGAUCGAACAUCAGCCUUCCAACUCAUAAAAUGCUGCCCAGCUGUUCUUAAAGGACUCUGCCAAACUGUCUUCUUGUUGCAUUUACAUACUCGCUGUGGACAGGAGGCAGCCCUGGCUCUGGUCUAACAGGCUAGCAGUGGUGUCACCUUGCUUUCACUAAGCAGUCUUCUCAUGGGUUUGAGGAUGAGCCUAAAGUUUUUUCACUGAUUAUUUUUUGUAACUAAAAUAUCUCUCAGGUUAUGAUGAAAUUUAUUUAGCAAUAAUAUUUUCUACUUAUGCCAUUUGAUAUUCUUACCUCUCAGUUGUUCAGAAAGAGGGAUAAACAUAAAAACAUGGAGAGACAGAAGGCAAGGUGGACGAGUGGCACAAAAGAUUAUGUAAUUCUGAGGAGUGUGCCUAUUACCUAAAUAGUAUGACAGAAUCACAAAAUGAUUGAGGUUGGAAGGGACCUCUGGCAAUCAUCUAG